GCGGAGGCUGGGAGGGGAGCUGCCGCCCUGGGCUGGCGCCGCUGCCGGGGCAGGUUGUCAGGCGGCCCCGCUAGUCCCUGUUCUCCGGGAGGGGACAGGCCGCUCUCCCUCUCCCCCAGCUUCGGCCCUGCUGCCGGGGCAGUCGCGCCCCCCGCCCCCGACCUGGACAUUCAGAGGCGCUGGAACAAUUUGUAUCGUGGGGGGGGGGGGGUGCUCGGCCAUUGAACCCAACUAAACUCUGUAUAUCAGAGGUCCCCAAAUUGUGGGGCGCGUCCCCCUGGGUCGGGGGGCCGUGGCUGAGACCUAGGCCAGUCCCCGUGGGGGUACCCAGCUCUGCUUCUGGUCUCAUGUCCUUUCCUGUCUCAGGGCCCUGGCUGUGGCCCCAGCUUUGGCCCCCUUACUCCCAUCUGCGGCCCCCCCCCCCGGAGCUGCGGCCCUGCUCCGGGCCCUGGGGGGGGCACAGAGAGGGGUAAGGCGGGGGUGAGCCUGAGAAGUUUGGGGACCGCUACUGUAUAUCAUAGGAACCACUUUAAGCGAGUAUCCCUAGUUCCAGCACACACGGGGGACAGACGUGUAAGGCCAGCUUCGGGCCCUGGGAUCCUAUGGAGGGAAAGGUUCAUUCUAGUGAUGCUUAGUAAGGCGAUGGCACUUCCUACCUUCCAAGCUUUGUGCAUGCACUAGCCGCGCCUCGCAGCACCCCAGGGAGGAUGGCAGAGGAGCAGUUUAUAAGAAAUGCUCUCCCCCCCUCACAUAUCUGUCAAAAGUAUUAAGAACAUAAGAAUGGCCAUACUGGGUCA